UCAAGCCCUGCUCUCAUCCAGUUUGUGGCGAAGAAAACUAUAUUGGAAAAUACAGUGGUUUUGCCUAAACGCCUUUUCAUAGUGGUGAUAAGUUAGAAAUGGCUCAGCAGGGGGGAAAAUGCGGUCAAAUCCCUCCAAAGUCGACGUGGAUAGCAAAUAAACAUAUAUCGGCAAAAUAACAACCAACACCUGAUGCUAAAAAGACGGGUUAGCCACUAUGACCGAACAGUUAAGCUAGCUAACGUUACCAUCAUUAAGUUGGGGCUAGUGCUAAAUUGGCAACUUUGGUACAGAGAAACAUUACUUCCUUGAACAAGGAAAAAAGAGACUUGCCGUGGUUUCCAAAGGUGGCAACUAUGGAUGCAAAGUUUGCCUAACCCUAGUAUUCUUAAUAUUGAACACAAAAAGAUUGCGACUGUCAGAAUAAUUGCGCACUUUUACAGUCCCAGUAACAUUAACGAUAAGGAGGAGCGCAGAGGUUACCAAGAUGCCGAAGAAGGUGUGGACAAAAUAACCUGACCUGAGGGAGUGACGUUUCAACUCAAAAUCCUAAAAUCAUCAGCUCAAUAGUGACCUAUAGGCUGAUGCACUUAGCAGAAUAGAGGACAAGACAGAGAAGAAGUAAAUCAGUGACCGGAGAUAAAGAAGACACAGCAACACAGAUGCAUUAUAUCAGUAAUGCACAACAUUCACAGGACCUCAUGAUAAUAGGCUCGUCGGGACACAGAGAAAGGAGCGAGACGCUUGUCAGAGUGGAUACAUCCGUGCCUGACCCGAGGGAGAUGGCUCAGUGCACGACACAUCAGUUACAGGACACCGAGAGACCCUCUCCCCCCUCCUCGCAGGCUAAUGGUUUUCAAGUUAGUGAGGGCCUGUGCUCUUGUCUGGGCCAGGCCUGUUGUCAUGUGAAAUCCAUUAGAGGUCGCAAGCACACAGGAUGGGCGGUCUAUUGAUAAGGCAGCAGGAGAAGUGAGGCAGAAGCAGGGGAAGAAAUGAGAAGCUUUUUAUCUCCCGACUGUACUGUACUGUACUCUCCUUGAGGACUUUGUAAAGCAAACUGAAGUAGAGUGGAAAAUUGAUGGAGAUGUUUUACAUUAUUAUUGUACUUCUGAGCAAUGGCUUGUAAGAUUGUAUUCUGAAAUGGUAAGACAAUUGAAAAUAGUCUCCUAUGUAAUCAGAAACGUGU